GACGAACGCUGGCGGCGUGCCUAAUACAUGCAAGUAGAACGCUGAAGCUUGGUGCUUGCACCGAGCGGAUGAGUUGCGAACGGGUGAGUAACGCGUAGGUAACCUGCCUGGUAGCGGGGGAUAACUAUUGGAAACGAUAGCUAAUACCGCAUAAGAGUAGAUGUUGCAUGACAUUUGCUUAAAAGGUGCAAUUGCAUCACUACCAGAUGGACCUGCGUUGUAUUAGCUAGUUGGUGAGGUAACGGCUCACCAAGGCAACGAUACAUAGCCGACCUGAGAGGGGGAUCGGCCACACUGGGACUGAGACACGGCCCAGACUCCUACGGGAGGCAGCAGGAGGGAAUCUUCGGCAAUGGACGGAAGUCUGACCGAGCAACGCCGCGGUAGUGAAGAAGGGUUUCGGAUCGUAAAGCUCUGUUGUAAGAGAAGAACGAGUGUGGGAGUGGAAAGUUCACGCUGUGACGGUAUCUUAUCAGAAAGGGACGGCUAACUACGUG
rnacentral:rRNA from 1 species